rnacentral:pre_miRNA from 1 species
UUUAAUAUGAAUUGAUUUAUGUUUGGAUACCUUCACUUAAAAAUGAUUCUUAUGAGUUUGUGUUGUUUGGAUAG